GUUUCCGUGGUGUGCCUAGUGGUUUAUUAUCACAUCGGCCUAACACGCGGAAGGUCCCCGGUUCGAUCGUGGGCGGAAACA